UCCCAGACGCACCAGCUGAUAUAAAAGUCCUGAUCCUGUCUCCUACGUCGCUUCUUGUUAGUUGGAAGAAGCCAAAACAUCCAAAUGGGGAGCUGAUAUAUUACACUGUAUACGUGAAACCGACAUCUAGCAACGGUUCUCCUCAAACGUUCCGAGUAGACGUUUCACGAACAACAGCUGAAGUAAAGGACUUGACGACGGAAAGGACGUAUGAAGCAUGGGUCACAGCGAGCACUAGUGUUGGAGAAGGUACAGCCAGCAAACGAGUACUGCAAACGCCUGUACAAAGAG
rnacentral:misc_RNA from 1 species